rnacentral:rRNA from 1 species
GGCCGCGGGAAUUCGAUUAAGAGUUUGAUCCUGGCUCAGGAUUAACGCUGGCGGCGUGCUUAAUACAUGCAAGUCGAACGGAAAUCUUUUAGAUUUUAGUGGCGAACGGGUGAGUAACACGUAAGCAACCUGCCUUUAAGACGAGAAUAACAAUUGGAAACAGUUGCUAAGGCUGGAUAGGAAAUAAAAAGGCAUCUUUUUAUUUUUAAAAGACCUUUUUCGGAAGGUAUGCUUAAAGAGGGGCUUGCGUCACAUUAGUUAGUUGGUAGGGUAAAGGCCUACCAAGACGAUGAUGUGUAGCUGGACUGAGAGGUUGAACAGCCACAUUGGGACUGAGACACGGCCCAAACUCCUACGGGAGGCAGCAGUAGGGAAUUUUCGGCAAUGGAGGAAACUCUGACCGAGCAACGCCGCGUGAACGACGAAGUACUUCGGUAUGUAAAGUUCUUUUAUUGAAGAAGAAACAAUAGUGGAAAAACUAUCUUGACGUUAUUCAAUGAAUAAGCCCCGGCUAACUAUGUGCCAGCAGCCGCGGUAAUACAUAGGGGGCGAGCGUUAUCCGGAAUUAUUGGGCGUAAAGGGUGCGUAGGCGGNUUAAUAAGUCUCUAGUUUAAUUUCAACGCUUAACGUUGUCCUGCUAGAGAAACUGUUUAACUAGAGUGAGAUAGAGGUAAGCGGAAUUUCAUGUGUAGCGGNUAAAUGUGUAAAUAUAUGGAGGAACACCAGGGGCGUANGCGGCUUACUGGGUCUUUACUGACGCUGAUGC